rnacentral:misc_RNA from 1 species
AUAAGUCAGCUAAAUAAAUAUCAUAUAAUUCAUGAUCUGAGCUAAAUAAAAAUUUAUGCUAUAAAAAUAUUGCUAAAUUAAAGUUAUUGGAAUAAUAUAAAAUCUAUAAUAUCUUCAUACACUCGAAAUAUGUUUAAUGUAGAUAAUGCUGCCAUCUCAAGCGUGUAUAAUAAACUCUGACGACAGCCUGAGAGUAAUGCUGGCAUUUUGGGCUCUAUGAUGACACUUUCGGCCCAAGAGCAAUAAAAAUACUGGUUAUAUACAUGUGCAGAGUUACCCCCAAAG